rnacentral:rRNA from 1 species
GCCUAACACAUGCAAGUCGAGCGGUAGCACAGAGAGCUUGCUCUCGGGUGACGAGCGGCGGACGGGUGAGUAAUGUCUGGGAAACUGCCUGAUGGAGGGGGAUAACUACUGGAAACGGUAGCUAAUACCGCAUAAUGUCGCAAGACCAAAGUGGGGGACCUUCGGGCCUCAUGCCAUCAGAUGUGCCCAGAUGGGAUUAGCUAGUAGGUGGGGUAACGGCUCACCUAGGCGACGAUCCCUAGCUGGUCUGAGAGGAUGACCAGCCACACUGGAACUGAGACACGGUCCAGACUCCUACGGGAGGCAGCAGUGGGGAAUAUUGCACAAUGGGCGCAAGCCUGAUGCAGCCAUGCCGCGUGUGUGAAGAAGGCCUUCGGGUUGUAAAGCACUUUCAGCGGGGAGGAAGGCGGUGAGGUUAAUAACCUUGUCGAUUGACGUUACCCGCAGAAGAAGCACCGGCUAACUCCGUGCCAGCAGCCGCGGUAAUACGGAGGGUGCAAGCGUUAAUCGGAAUUACUGGGCGUAAAGCGCACGCAGGCGGUCUGUCAAGUCGGAUGUGAAAUCCCCGGGCUCAACCUGGGAACUGCAUUCGAAACUGGCAGGCUAGAGUCUUGUAGAGGGGGGUAGAAUUCCAGGUGUAGCGGUGAAAUGCGUAGAGAUCUGGAGGAAUACCGGUGGCGAAGGCGGCCCCCUGGACAAAGACUGACGCUCAGGUGCGAAAGCGUGGGGAGCAAACAGGAUUAGAUACCCUGGUAGUCCACGCCGUAAACGAUGUCGAUUUGGAGGUUGUGCCCUUGAGGCGUGGCUUCCGGAGCUAACGCGUUAAAUCGACCGCCUGGGGAGUACGGCCGCAAGGUUAAAACUCAAAUGAAUUGACGGGGGCCCGCACAAGCGGUGGAGCAUGUGGUUUAAUUCGAUGCAACGCGAAGAACCUUACCUGGUCUUGACAUCCACAGAACUUUCCAGAGAUGGAUUGGUGCCUUCGGGAACUGUGAGACAGGUGCUGCAUGGCUGUCGUCAGCUCGUGUUGUGAAAUGUUGGGUUAAGUCCCGCAACGAGCGCAACCCUUAUCCUUUGUUGCCAGCGGUUAGGCCGGGAACUCAAAGGAGACUGCCAGUGAUAAACUGGAGGAAGGUGGGGAUGACGUCAAGUCAUCAUGGCCCUUACGACCAGGGCUACACACGUGCUACAAUGGCAUAUACAAAGAGAAGCGACCUCGCGAGAGCAAGCGGACCUCAUAAAGUAUGUCGUAGUCCGGAUUGGAGUCUGCAACUCGACUCCAUGAAGUCGGAAUCGCUAGUAAUCGUAGAUCAGAAUGCUACGGUGAAUACGUUCCCGGGCCUUGUACACACCGCCCGUCACACCAUGGGAGUGGGUUGCAAAAGAAGUAGGUAGCUUAACCUUCGGGAGGGCGCUUACCAC